rnacentral:misc_RNA from 1 species
ACACACCGCCCGUCAAACCAUGGGAGCUGGUAAUGCCCGAAGUCGGUUUAUUAACAAACUGCCUAAGGCAGGACUGGUGACUGGGGUUAAGUCGUAACAAGGUAUCCCUACGAGAACGUGGGGAUGGAUCACCUCCUUUCUACGGAGUACAAAAGAGCUUAUUUUAAUAAGUUAUUAACCUUUAAUUAUCAGACCUAAUUUUUGAUUGUUUUAGUAUAAAACAAUAUUUGUCAUGCGUUUCUUUAUAGGUCUAAGAAACAAUAUAUCUAGUUUUGAGAGGACAAAUCUCUCAAUUGUUCUUUGAAAACUGAAUAGUAAAUUACAAGAUAUUUACAACGACAUCAAAUAAAUUAAAUAAAUUAAAUGGUUAAUUUGUUUUGAUUCAUCGAGUAAUCAUUAAAUAUGAUUCAUUAAAAUGUCUUGGAAUACACAUCAACAACUAAACAAUAGGAAAAUACUUUUAAAUAAG